rnacentral:rRNA from 1 species
ACGAACGCUGGCGGCGUGCUUAACACCUGCAAGUCGAACGAAGAGCGAUGGAAGCUUGCUUCUAUCAAUCUUAGUGGCGAACGGGUGAGUAACGCGUAAUCAACCUGCCCUUCAGAGGGGGACAACAGUUGGAAACGACUGCUAAUACCGCAUACGAUCUCAUCUCGGCAUCGAGGAUGGAUGAAAGGUGGCCUCUACAUGUAAGCUAUCACUGAAGGAGGGGAUUGCGUCUGAUUAGCUAGUUGGAGGGGUAACGGCCCACCAAGGCGAUGAUCAGUAGCCGGUCUGAGAGGAUGAACGGCCACAUUGGGACUGAGACACGGCCCAGACUCCUACGGGAGGCAGCAGUGGGGAAUCUUCCGCAAUGGACGAAAGUCUGACGGAGCAACGCCGCGGGAGUGAUGACGGCCUUCGGGUUGUAAAGCUCUGUUAAUCGGGACGAAAGGCCUUCUUGCGAAUAGUGAGAAGGAUUGACGGUACCGGAAUAGAAAGCCACGGCUAACUACGUG